rnacentral:rRNA from 1 species
GAUGAACGCUGGCGGCGUGCCUAACACAUGCAAGUCGAACGGAGUCCAGCCUUUAAGACCUUCGGGUCAAAGAGGGGAAGACUGAGUGGCGGACGGGUGAGUAACACGUGGGCAACCUGGCUCAUAGAGGGGGAUAACAGAGAGAAAUUUCUGCUAAUACCGCAUAAGCACACACUGCCGCAUGGCAGAGUGUGAAAAGAGAAUCGCUAUGAGAUGGACCCGCGUCUGAUUAGCCAGUUGGCAGGGUAAGAGCCUACCAAAGCGACGAUCAGUAGCCGGUCUGAGAGGAUGAACGGCCACAUUGGGACUGAGACACGGCCCAAACUCCUACGGGAGGCAGCAGUGGGGGAUAUUGCACAAUGGGGGGAACCCUGAUGCAGCGACGCCGCGUGAGUGAAGAAGUAUUUCGGUAUGUAAAGCUCUAUCAGCAGGGAAG